UACGGGGGGGGCAAGCGUUGUUCGGAAUUACUGGGCGUAAAGGGCUCGUAGGCGGCCAACUAAGUCAGACGUGAAAUCCCCAGGCUCAACCUGGGAACUGCGUCUGAUACUGGAUGGCUUGAAUCCGGGAGAGGGGAUGCAGAAUUCCAGGUGUAGCGGUGGAAAUGCGUAGAUAUCUGGAGGAAUACCGGUGGCGAAGGCGGCAUCCUGGACCGGUAUUGACGCUGAGGCGCGAAAGCCAGGGGAGCAAACGGG
rnacentral:rRNA from 1 species